ensembl:lncRNA
AAAAAGUCUGAGAGUCUCCCCUGGCAAAAAUAAGUAAAUAUCUCUAGACUCUGGCAGAAGGUGUUACAAGGUGUAAUUGUGCUCUUUGCUGCAUGACUGCUGGAAGUGUGAUGCUCUGGUUUUAUCAUCAUCAAAAGCUGCAUGGGAAGGGAGAGGCUGGGAGAGCUGGGACUGCGCAGCCUGGAGGAGAGAAGGCUCGGGGGGAUCUCUACGUGUCUAAAUGCCUGAUGCCACAGAACAGACCAGAACCAUGAGGAGCCAAGCCAGAGGUGCUGGGCCCCAGAUCACUUCUCGGAUGCCAGAAGAGCCGCUGCAGUGUUUGUUUCCUCAUGAAGAGAUCUGACAUUUGCUUCUCUCCAUACUUCUCUAUUCCUGCUCGAUAGCUGAAAGUGCAAACUCAGCACAGUCAAUGUUCUUCUCUGACACUGAGAAAAGAAAUACCAUUAGCGUGUGAAUGAUGUAUGAGGUAACAAUUCCUGCACCCCUCUCUUUUUCUUCAGGGGUUGACUAUGAGUAGGUCCCUCUCUCCUUCCCUCCCACAGUCCAUCAUGGACCUAAAGCUUUGACCUUCACUCUCUGCAACCUUUUUCUCCUAUGAGUAACUGCUUCCCAGCAGAGGCUGCAUAAUUAGGCAGAAGGCAUUAGGCAUAUGACAAAUGACACUCUUUUGGUAGACUGCAGAUUCGGAGGUCAAGCACACUAUUAAUAAUUCUCUGACUUUUUAAAAGCUGUAUUUCCUCCGUUUGUUGGCAACAUAAUUUGAAAGGUCUGUGCAAACCACUUAAAACAGCAGCUGAACACAGACAUUUCAGUACUGUCCAAUAUCGAUUUUUGUCUCUAACUUAUCUCAUUGCUGAGACUGGUUUCAAUAUCCUGUGAAGUUUAAGUGAAGAUACUUCCAGUCUCAAUAGCUGUGUGCUCCCAAUUGAUAUCAUAGGUAAGUCGGUAGUAUUUUCCUUAGUAACAUGCUUUGGCUCAAUCAGGAAGUGUACCACAUAAUGUCAAUCAUAGACCAUUGCUGCCUGAAUCAAAGUAAAGAUGGGUGAGGAACAAAUAGAGGUGUGCUGGACUGGGGGACCCAGUAACCAGGCUGCUUCCAGGCUGAACCUCUUCCAGGAAAAAAUUGGGCACAAAAUUGGGUACAGCACACUAUUUCGGCCUGGAGACAGAGCACCCAAGGUACAAGGAACUUCGGUAAAUUCAAGGAACUAGUCAGUGCACUCCCAUGAAAUAGAACCUUAAAGGAGAAAGACAUUCAGGAAAUUUAGCAAUUUCUUAACCAAAACUAAGGGCACAAGAUGAGCAUACGAAAUGUGAAAAUGUGAAG